UUACAUUUAGGAUUCUUUGCAUUUCAUUACAUCAUUUCUUUCUUACAUCGCAUUUACCUCAAAAUACACAUUACAUUCUUUUCUUUACAUCAUUUACUGUCAUGUACAAAAGAUGAUCAUAGCGUACUUUACUACAAAAUGAAACCCAACUUUGGUGGCCUCUGACUAAGGCGCGAUACCUUUACCUCGGUCGCUCGCCGGCUCGCUCGGUCCCGGCUCUGUGGAAAUAGUGGGGUGAGAACUACAACAAAGUUCCCAGUGGGUUCGGCCUCAACAUCACCGACUUUUCCACUAGGACUAACUCAGGCAUAAUAGAAAGAAUAAGCUGCAUAUAGUAACCAAUCUAUACAUGAUGCUAAUAUGCCUGAACAAUAAAGCAAGGAGUAUGCACAACAUUAAAUAAAUGCAGGUUAUGCAUGUUUUUUCGUUCUUUGUCUUUACACUUUGUUCUUUAUUCUUUAUUCUUUGCUCUUUGUUCUUUACUCUUUGCUCUUUAAUCAUUAAGGCUAGCCCGAGGGUUUCGCCACAUUAACUUGCUUCACAUUAAGUCCAUCAUCGCAGGAACUCACCCACUAGGACCGUCCUUCGGGUUUACUCCAACCCGUGAUGCAUAACUCCGGAGCGCAUCGCCCGAGGGGGGGCGACCGCCCUCGAGCACGGAACUCAUAGCAAGUAUGAUCAUAUCCUUAACUCAAAGGAUUUAUAGUUCAAUCUUGACUUUACACUAGCUCUAGUGUUCUUUCAUCACUUUAUGUUGCAAACUCAUGCAAUCACAUUCUUUACAUUUCUUUAUCUUUGCUAACUCUAGCAAUCGUUGUUCUUUACCAUUCUUUUACUUGUGCCAUCUUUAGCAUUCUUGUUCUUUACAUUUCUUGUUCUUUACAUUUCUUGUUCUUAUUGCCCCACUUUACUUUAACUUUACACAUUGUCACUUUCAUCAUUCUUUACAUCACUUUGGUUCUUUACCUCACACUAUCUCUAGUGUCAUUUCACUUUAACUUUAUCAAAUGCCACACGAUCUAUGUCAUUGUGUCACUCUGUUCUUUUGCUCACUUUGGGUGCUCACUUUUCUCUCAUGCAUACACAUAGGGUUUUCGACAUCACAUAGUUCUCAUUCAUCAUAUUAUGCAAGUUGUACUCACAAUCAUGCAAC
rnacentral:lncRNA from 1 species